GAUGAACGCUGGCGGCGUGCCUAAUACAUGCAAGUCGAGCGAACAGACGAGGAGCUUGCUCCUCUGACGUUAGCGGCGGACGGGUGAGUAACACGUGGAUAACCUACCUAUAAGACUGGGAUAACUUCGGGAAACCGGAGCUAAUACCGGAUAAUAUAUUGAACCGCAUGGUUCAAUAGUGAAAGACGGUUUUGCUGUCACUUAUAGAUGGAUCCGCGUCGCAUUAGCUAGUUGGUAAGGUAACGGCUUACCAAGGCAACGAUGCGUAGCCGACCUGAGAGGGUGAUCGGCCACACUGGAACUGAGACACGGUCCAGACUCCUACGGGAGGCAGCAGUAGGGAAUCUUCCGCAAUGGGCGAAAGCCUGACGGAGCAACGCCGCGUGAGUGAUGAAGGUCUUCGGAUCGUAAAGCUCUGUUAUUAGGGAAGAACAAAUGUGUAAGUAACUAUGCACGUCUUGACGGUACCUAAUCAGAAAGCCACGGCUAACUACGUG
rnacentral:rRNA from 1 species